GACGAACGCUGGUGGCGUGCCUAACACAUGCAAGUGGAGCGACGAACCAGGGCUUGCCCUGGGGCAGAGCCGCGAACGGGUGAGUAACACGUGGGUUACCUGCCUCGAUGGCCGGGACAACCCGAGGAAACUCGGGCUAAUACCGGAUGUGCCCGCAAGGGGAAAGGAAGCUUCGGCCUCCGCAUCGAGAUGGGCCCGCGGCCCAUUAGCUUGUUGGUGAGGUAACGGCUCACCAAGGCUCCGAUGGGUAGCUGGUCUGAGAGGACGAUCAGCCACACUGGGACUGAGACACGGCCCAGGCUCCUACGGGAGGCAGCAGUGGGGAAUCUUGCGCAAUGCGCGAAAGCGUGACGCAGCAACGCCGCGUGGGGGAAGAAGGCUUUCGGGUUGUAAACCCCUUUCAGUUGGGACGAAGCUUCGUCGGUUAAUAGCCGGCAGGAGUGACGGUACCUUCACAAGAAGCACCGGCUAACUACGUGCCAGCCGCCGCAGUAAAAC
rnacentral:rRNA from 1 species